AUUGAACGCUGGCGGCAGGCCUAACACAUGCAAGUCGAGCGGUAGAGAGGUGCUUGCAUCUCUUGAGAGCGGCGGACGGGUGAGUAAUGCCUAGGAAUCUGCCUAGUGGUGGGGGAUAACGUUCGGAAACGGACGCUAAUACCGCAUACGUCCUACGGGAGAAAGCGGGGGGAUCUUCGGACCUCGCGCCAUUAGAUGAGCCUAGGUCGGAUUAGCUAGUUGGUGAGGUAAUGGCUCACCAAGGCGACGAUCCGUAACUGGUCUGAGAGGAUGAUCAGUCACACUGGAACUGAGACACGGUCCAGACUCCUACGGAGGCAGCAGUGGGGAAUAUUGGACCAAUGGGCGAAAGCCUCGAUCCAGCC
rnacentral:rRNA from 1 species